GUAAAAGGAAGAUAAACUACACAGUGUGUAAAUAAAUUAAACAGAAUGCAUGAAUUAUGAAUAAUCCAGUGUUAUGGGCACAUUCUGUUUUCAGGAGUUAAGAAGUAAUUUGGUGUUCUCAUGUGAGUUCAUCCCUUUCCACAAGGAACCAAAUAAUCAGGAACAAUUAGACAAAUUCAAAACCUGCUUCAAUCUUCUGUUAAGCAGGUAAAAUACUGGUGUUAAAGGGGUUAAGGGUUUAAAAACUUCAUGAGAGAUAGUGUUUCAAUAUUUUAAAGACAAUUUUGAACCUUUAAAAUAUUUAGCUGAUGCCUGUAUGUCCCUUUUUAAAACAAUCUCCCAGAAGAAACAUCUGUUGAAGAUAUUUUGGUUCAACUUUGAAAGUGUGUUACUGACAUCUAGUGGGAAACAAAAAUCUGGACACAUGAAUCUGGAACGGAGUACACCAACACUAUGAUCCAUUCUCUGUAAUUAAGGAAAUAACAACUGUUUCUAAAAGAAAAUAAACCAGAUGACGGAAACACCAACCAUCUGUAAAAUGUUUUUAAAAAGAUUUAAAGAAAUUAUUAGUGCAUUAGUGCAAUUAAUUAUUAAUGCAUUUAUUUAAAAAAAAAAGAAAGAAAAAGGGAUUUUUAAGGAGAAAAUUUAGGUAAAGUAAAGGAAUUGUGUACUAUGUGCAACAUGAAGUAAACAUAUGAAGUUAAUGCUGCUGUUUAACACACAGUAGUUAAACUGCUGAGAACUUGGAUUAGCUGUUAUUAUCACCACCCUCUCACAGUGAAGCGUUUUGGAGGCUGUAAUUUGACCUUGGAUCUUAAUGGUUGUGUGACAAUAGUGCCCCGUCCCACUGGCCUGUCUGCCCCUCUGCUGUGUCUAUUUAUAAUGUCCAGACACAGUGCAGAGGUUAUUCAGAGGUGCCAGUGAACGCAAGCCGACAGAAGGGUGAGAAUAUUUACUGCUAUUGUUCCAGCUGUUAACUAAAAACUUUAACCUGAAUAUAUAAUUUCACUUUUUAACCAUGCACUUCAGAUUUUCAUGUCACAACUAAUCCCCCUGUGAACUUUUUCCCUCUCAAAAUGUGAAAAAUGUUUUUGUGGAAAUGGCUUUUGUUGUACAGUGUGACGAGCAAAUAUGUUUUUUUACUUUAUGCAUUUUAACAGCUUGUCCAGUUUCAACUCUUCUUAAAUGUUUAUACGCUUCUGCUCGUCAACCAAAAGGUAAAUAAAAUCACAAAAACAAUAAAUUACUGGAAAAUAUUCUUAAAAUCCUCAAUUAACCAAACUAUAUUUCUUCUACUGUCACUAUUUUCUGUGUUAUUUUAUUUUUUUUUCUCUUAAGGUCAAAGGCAGAAAGAUGCCAGCAGGCUAUCAUGAGCAUUGCAACAAGUGCUACAAUGUCUUCUGUCAAGUCCCAGUGAGGAUUUCUGUUUCAUGCAUGGUCAUCAGCUGUCCUAAAAACUGCGGUGCCACCUUUCAUAUGUGCAAACUAGAGGAGCACCAGCUCCUCUGUCCUAAGGAGGUGGUCCCCUGCCUCAAUGUUGACUAUGGCUGUCCUCUGACCAUGCUGCGCCACAAGAUGGCCAAACACAUAGAGGUCUGUCCUGCCAGCGUGGUCUGCUGCUCUCAAGAGUGGAACCGCUGGCCUGUUUCUGAAACUGAUAUGACCUUUUACAGAAAAGUUUCUGAAAAUCUUCAGUUAAACACAGAGUUGAACCUCGACGUUGCCCUGGCUCUCAGGGAUCAAGCUCAACUGUUUCAGGCUAUCAAAAUGAAGAACAUAUUUCCUGAGCUGAUGAUGGGGGAACCUGCCCUUGAGCAUAUUUCUGCUGGAGUCUACACUCCUGUAGAGGAGGCAUCCUCUUCUUCAGGCUGCAGUGAAUUUACAGAGAAUGGCUGUGCGAUGGAGGAGAAAGAACUGUGUGAAGAGGAAAGAAAUGCUUUGGCAAAGAGCAUAGAUGUGGCAAGUGUUCAAAAUUACAGCUCCUGGGAGAAAAUAUUCAGGAAGGAAAAGGAAGGAUGCAACGAAACAGUGAAAAAUCUGAAUAAGGAGGGAAAGGGGAAAGAAAAGCAAGAGCAAGAAUUAUGGAACUGUCAGGAGGAGAAAAAAGACUCACAUCAGGAGGAAGAAAAUGCUGUUUCUGGCAGAAACACAGGUGGUGCAACUGGCCUUGCACCAUGGCAGGAUGGGGUGCUGGAAAGGUUAGGCAAUGAAGUCAAUAUUGGAGAAUACAAUAUGUACCUGGUACACCAUGGGACGAUGCUGAUUAACUUUGGCCAACUUGCUGCAUGCACACCGAGGGAGAAAGACUUUGUUUAUGGGAAUCUAGAGCCAAUUGAGGUUAAAACUGUUCGCACAUUUAAUGUUCCUACGAGCUAUCAAGCAAAGCGUAGUCUCCUGAAGGACCCUUCCCACAGGGCCACCACCGCACACCAGUGUGUGGACACAACAGAUUUGGGCGAGUCAGUUGAAGAUCUUCCAAAAUCUGAAGAGGUUGGCUCAACACUUCUGUGCUCCCUGGAAAAGGAACUGAAGGGACAUUCAAUCUCAGAGAGCUCCUGGACAGAUGGCCUUUAUGUCGACAUAGGAACACAAACAUACGACUUCCCCUCUGCUCCAUUCAAAGCAGAUGCAUCCUUAGCUGAUGUCAUUGCAAGCAAACCGCAUGGCCUUUAUGUACAUGUAGACACAGAAUCUGUCACCAGACGACAUAACAAAACAAGUUCAGCCUUCAGCUUCAUUUGUGGCAGCUUCUUCCGCCGUGAUGAGUACCGCUCACAUUUCAGGAAUGCUCAUUGUGACAUACAGGCCUCUCUGAAUGGCUGGUUCCAGCAGCGCUGCCCCUUAGCAUACCUCGGCUGCACUUUCACUCAGAUAAGGUUUCACCCUGCAGGUCAAGAAGCAAUAAUCAAAUUCUGCCAAGAUGUCAGCGCCUUUGUACUUCAGCCACUUGUCCCUUCAUCUCUCUGUGAAGGUGGGGAAAGCUUCAGCCCUCAGGAAAACACAGUGCAAAAUUGUGAUGCCCUGAGCAGGCUGCCCCUGGAGGUCCUUCAGCACAUAGCUGGUUACCUUGAUAGUUUCACAUUGUCUCAGCUGUCCCAGGUUUCCCUCCAGAUGAGAGCAGUGUGUGCCACAUUGUUGCAGGAGAGAGGAAUGGUCUCCCUUGAAUGGCAGAAAAAGACAUAUUCACAUGGGGGGAGUUCCUGGAAAUGUCAGAAAAAAGCAAGUAUCCUUCAGAUUAUUUUAAUUACUUUUUUUUUUGUUUGUUUUUUAAACAAAUUUCAUUAAUGAAUUUCAAAUCAAUCCGGUUCACUGUGCUGCAAAAGGACAAAAAAAAUACUUUAUUCCAUGUCUACGUUUUUAUCACCAGCACUAUUUUGACUCAAACUUGUAAGCUACAAGUGGAAAGUAAACACAAGGCUAAACCCCUACGUUAAACCCCUUUAGUUUCUGUCACCAUGCUGUUAUCUGUCAUUGGAAAAUUUCAGUCAUUCACGCAGCAUGGCAGCUGCUGCAUUGUAAACACUCUCCAGACUUCGAAAAGUCCUCCCUAACCAUGUUAAAAGUCACUCAAAGCUAUGUUGGCAACAUUUAAAGGCUUCCCACUGAAUCAUUCACAUAACCGCCUACAUUUUCUAGUCCAUCCAGGGUCAACUGCUUUUAGGACUAGGCACCAAAAUGGAUGAAGGUGAUUUUUUUGUUUUUUUCUUUCUUUCUUUUCCUUCCAGACUAUCAUCUAGAUUUGGUUCUUUGGCAGAAAAUAAAUAAAUAAUAAAUAAAAGCCAAAAAUCAAAAAGACAAGCACUGCCCUAGUUUCCCCCAGUUCCUCUGUAAUAUUAUAGAAGCUGUUCAUGAAGUCCAAUUAUUCAAUUCUGACUCACAAUCAGCAUUUAGCCUUUGCACCAUCU